AAUCUGUAAAAAGAAAAACAAAGUCAGUGAGCAACAACUUAUUAAUUAGUAUAAUUAGAAAAAGAACUUAAAAUAGUAAUUAGCAUGCUAACUAAUAAAUUAUGGACAUGUAAAUAUUUAAUUGUUAAUCACUUAAUUCUUACUUAAAAACAUAUUUCAUAUUUUAAAUAAAAAUACAUAUUUCUUGCAUUGUAAUUUGUACUUGUUACUUGUUGUUUAUACUAAAUCAAGAUUUUCGUAUUAUGUUCCAUAUAUGUUAUGGUUUAAUAUUUAAUUAGUACUUGUUACUUGUUUAUAGCAAUAGAAGCAGAAGGUAGUUCUGGUGCACAGUCUGUUCAAGAUGAUCACACUCCUUUAUGGAAGUAUGUCACAAAGUUGGAGAAGAUGGGUAAAGGAGGGGGAAUUGGCAGUGGAUGCGUAGUUACUGUCAUGAAGUAUUUACAUCCUUCUACUCAAGGGUCAAAGCCCAUCUAAUACGGAUUAGUGGACAAUAAUUUAAAAUGUGCAAAGGUGUUAAACUGCACAAUAUGAGAGACAUGCAAACUGAUAUGGAUCAAGCGGAAGCAAGGGUGAGGUCUUCUAUGCCUAGGACAGUGACGCUGCCAAGUUCUUCAGCGUCAAGUGCAGCAGCAGGAAAUCAAAUCAUGUCUUCUCGUCCAAGUGAGCUAAAGAGGAGGAGGGGAGUCACCACCGUUGAACAUGCCUUCAAUACAAGGGCAAGAGAUGAAUUGGAUUCAAUGAUUGCAAGGAUGUUCUAUAUCGGUGAGCUGUCAUUUAAUUUGGCAAGAAAUCCUUAUUUCUCCAAGAUGAUCACAUAUGUCGCAAGCAAUUCAAUUGCCGGUUACAAGCCUCCAGGUUAUAAUUCUUUGAGGAUCACUCUUUUGUAACGUGAGAAGGCUCUCAUAGAGAGGUUGUUGGAGCCCAUCAGGGACACAUGGAAGCAGAAGGGGUAUCUAUUUGUAGUGAUGGCUGGGCAGAUGCACAGAGGAGGCCAUUGAUAAAUUUUAUUACGGUCUCAGAAAGCGGGCCAAUGUUCUUGCACUGCGUGAAUGCGCCGAGGGAGAGCAGAAGAAUAAAUAUUUCAUUGCAGAGAAACUUGAAGAUUGCAUUAGAGAGGUAGGGCCUUAAAAUGUGAUUCAAAUCAUUACUGGUAACGCUUCAGCAUACAAGGCCGCAUGGGCAGUUGUGGAGGGCAAAUUUCCACACAUCUUCUGGACUCUGUGUGUUGUUCACACCCUCAAUCAAGCCCUUAAGAAUAUCUGUGCUGCGAAAAAUACAGAGACUAAUGCAAUUGCUUAUGCAGAGUGCAGUUGGAUUACAGAGGUAUCUGAUGAUGCUUUGAUGAUUAAGAACUUCAUCAUGAAUCACUCAAUGAGGCUGUCUAUGUUCAAUGAGCAUUCGAAGAUGAAGCUUCUUUCAAUUGUUGAUACCCGAUUUGCUUCAUGGAUCAUCAUGUUAAAGAGGUUCAUGGUGAUCAAGAGAAGCCUCCAAGAUAUGGUUCUUAGCGAUCGUUGGAGCUUGUACAGAGAUGAUGGUGUGGAAAAAACACAAUUUGUUAAGGAGAAAGUGCUUGAUGAUUUGUGGUGGGAUAAGGUGGAUUAUAUUAUUGAUUUCACUGCUCCUAUAUAUGAUAUGAUCCGGCUCACAGAUACCGACAAACCCAGCCUUCAUUUGGUAUAUGAUAUGUGGGAUACAAUGAUUGAGAAGGUGAAGUUUGUUAUUUAUAGACAUGAGGGCAAAAGAGAAAAUGAUCCCUCCUCAUUUUAUGAUGUCGUACACAAGAUCUUGGUGGCUAGAUGGAAUAAGAGCAACACGUCACUUUAGUGCUUGACGCACUCUUUGAAUCCAAUAUAAUAAUUUAGAUUAUGUUAUCAAUUCAUUAUUUUUGAUGUGAUUAUUUUUAUUAAUAAUAUCUAAUUCAAUGUUAAACUUUAAUAGAUAUUAUCACGAGACAUGGCUCAAUGAGAAUAUCCAUCGGCAAGCACCCCAUCAGGAUGAGGAGAUCUCUUCGGAAAGGUCUAAGUGUCUGAGGAGAUAUUAUCCUAAUGCCGAUGAACGGAGGACAGUUAACUUGGAAUAUGCUAGAUUCUCGGCCGCUCUUGACACUUUUAGUGAUCCAGAUGCUCUUGCUGAUGGAGGAUUGAUUGAUUCAAAACCAUGGUGGGUGUUCUAUGGAUCCUCAGCUCCAAAUCUGCAAGCAUUGGCCUUAAAGCUUCUGGGCCAACCCUGCUCAUCCUCUUGCAGCGAAAGGAAUUGGAGUACAUACUCAUUCAUUCACUCUUUGAAGAGGAACAAGAUGACACCGGCAAUGGCAGAAGAUCUUGUGUAUGUGCAUAACAAUCUUCGUUUGCUUUCUCGGUCAUCCCAAGAAUAUCAAGAAGGAGAAUCGAAGCUGUGAGAUAUUAGUGGAGAUGCAUUCGACUCAUUUCAGGGUGCUGAUAUUCUUGAUGUCGCCACCUUGUCUCUUGAUGAACUCACCAUAGAGGCCGUAUUGUUUGCUGAUGAUGAAGGUAAUGAAAAGGUCAUCGGACUAGCUUCCACUUCAUCUUGAUGUAUUUUUUGUUUACAAACUUGUUAUUUUGUGAUAGAAAGAAUGAGUAUGUACUCCAAUUCCUUUUUGUUUACAAACUUGUUAUUUUGUGAUAGAUUCAUAAUUUAGUUUGUUAGUUGAAUUUUAUAAAUUUUUUUAUAUAUAAUAAUACUUUGAAAAAAAUUCUUGCCGUAUCCCCGUAUCCUAUAUUUUUUGGAUUUUGUCGUAUCCCGUAUCCGUGUCCGUGUCGUAUCUGUGUCCCGUAACCGUAUCUGUGCAUCAAUAUCCUCCAAUUACUCUCUCUCUCUCUCUCUCUAUCUACUUUCUCUUAUAACAAUUAGACCAUCGCCGAGUGCCAGAACGCCGAUGCCAUCGUGCUGACCUACGCUUGUGAUCGCCCGUCCACCCUGGAUCAGCUAAGUAUCUACUGGCUUCCGGAGUUGGUUGAGGAGGCUGGAGAUUAAAGUGCCAGUGAUUGUUGUUGGAUGCAAGUUGGAUCUUAGGGAUGAGCAGCAUAUGAGCUUGGAGCAGGUUCUGUUGCCGAUUAUGCAGCGGUUUCGAGAAAUUGAGACUUGCAUUGAAUGUUCUUCCCUCAGGCAAAUUCAGUGCUUCCCUCCCAGCCUAGUGACAUUGUUAGAGUCAAGAAGGUUGUGCAAGAGAAUAUGCCUGAUGGGGUUAACGAAAACGGCCUUACUUUGAAUAUUUAAGGGACUGGUUGGAGAUAUUGGAGGGAGUAGUAGUGGUUUUCGUACGAGGGAUAGAGCCGUUGUCGCCCCCGACGAGAUGUGAGGUUUUUUUAUUUUUUAUGCACUAAAUAGUUUUUUUUUUAUCUUUAAUAGUACUCUAUUUUAUUCAUCUGUGUUAUGGACUUGGUAUUGUUAGUGUAUCUGUUGUAAAUAUUAGGAUAAGAUAGGUUUUUGCUGAAAUGGAUGUUGAUUUGGAUUGUUGGAUGUA